UACGGGAGGCAGCAGUAGGGAAUCUUCGGCAAUGGACGAAAGUCUGACCGAGCAACGCCGCGUGAGUGAAGAAGGUUUUCGGAUCGUAAAACUCUGUUGUUAGAGAAGAACGUUGAUUAGAGUGGAAAAUAAUCAAGUGACGGAUCUAACCAGAAAGGACGC
rnacentral:rRNA from 1 species